CCCUUAGAUGUCCUGGGCCGCACGCGUGCUACACUGACGCAUACAGCGAGCACUUUCCAGUUCCGAGAGGCUACUAGUAAUCAUCAAUAUGCGUCGUGAUGGGGAUAGAUCUUUGGAAUUCUGGAUCUUGAACGAGGAAUGCCUAGUAAUCGCAGGUCAUUAGCCUGCGAUGAUUAAGUCCCUGCCCUUUGUGCACACCGCCCGUCGCUACUACCGAUUUCGAGUGGUCAGGUGAAUCUUUCGGACUGUGGGCGCCCUUGAGGUGUUCGCGGAAAGUCAGGUAAAUCUUAUCACUUAGAGGAAGUAAAAGUCGCAACA
rnacentral:rRNA from 1 species